rnacentral:rRNA from 1 species
UGCCUUCGGGAACUCAGACACACGUGCUGCAUCGCUGUCGUCAGCUCGUGUCGUGACAUGUUGCGUUAAGUCCGGUAACGAGCGCAACCCUUGUCCUUAGUUACCAGCACCUCGGGUGGGCACUCUAAGGAGACUGCCGGUGACAAACCGGAGGAAGGUGGGGAUGACGUCAAGUCAUCAUGGCCCUUACGGCCAGGGCUACACACGUGCUACAAUGGUUGGUACAGAGGGUUGCCAAGUCGCGAGGCGGAGCUAAUCCCAGAAAACCGAUCGUAGUCCGGAUCGCAGUCUGCAACUCGACUGCGUGAAGUCGGAAUCGCUAGUAAUCGCGAAUCAGAAUGUCGCGGUGAAUACGUUCCCGGGCCUUGUACACACCGCCCGUCACACCAUGGGAGUGGGUUGCUCC